rnacentral:rRNA from 1 species
GUAUAAGCAAUCUAUACCGUGAAACUGCGAAUGGCUCAUUAAAUCAGUUAUCGUUUAUUUGAUAGUACCUUACUACUUGGAUAACCGUGGUAAUUCUAGAGCUAAUACAUGCUAAAAACCCCGACUUCGGAAGGGGUGUAUUUAUUAGAUAAAAAACCAAUGCCCUCCGGGGCUCACUGGUGAUUCAUGAUAACUUAACGAAUCGCAUGGCCUUGUGCCGGCGAUGGUUCAUUCAAAUUUCUGCCCUAUCAACUUUCGAUUGUAAGGUAUUGGCUUACAAUGGUUUCAACGGGUAACGGGGAAUUAGGGUUCUAUUCCGGAGAGGGAGCCUGAGAAACGGCUACCACAUCCAAGGAAGGCAGCAGGCGCGCAAAUUACCCAAUCCCGACACGGGGAGGUAGUGACAAUAAAUACUGAUACAGGGCUCUUUUGGGUCUUGUAAUUGGAAUGAGUACAAUUUAAAUCCCUUAACGAGGAACAAUUGGAGGGCAAGUCUGGUGCCAGCAGCCGCGGUAAUUCCAGCUCCAAUAGCGUAUAUUAAAGUUGUUGCAGUUAAAAAGCUCGUAGUUGAACCUUGGGCCUGGUUGGUCGGUCCGCCUCACCGCGUGCACUGAUCCGACCGGGCCUUUCCUUCUGGGGAGCCGCAUGCCCUUCACUGGGUGUGUCGGGGAACCAGGACUUUUACUUUGAAAAAAUUAGAGUGUUCAAAGCAGGCCUAUGCUCGAAUACAUUAGCAUGGAAAUAAUAGAAUAGGACGUGUGGUUCUAUUUUGUUGGUUUCUAGGACCGCCGUAAUGAUUAAUAGGGAUAGUCGGGGGCAUCAGUAUUCAAUUGUCAGAGGUGAAUUCUUGGAUUUAUUGAAGACUACUACUGCGAAGCAUUUGCCAAGGAUGUUUUCAUUAAUCAGUGACGAAAGUUAGGGAUCGAGACGAUCAGAUA